GAGCUGCUCUUCUCCUCAGCCCCUUUGGCUAAAAGCUAAAGCCCAUGAAAGUGUAGCAGUUUAGCUAAUAAGGCAGAUUAUCAUGAUUCAGCCAAAGUAAUAAAAUAACCUGCAGCCUGAAUUUUACUGUUAAUGUGUUUCUACCUAUUGAGCAGCGAAAUUAAUUAAAUGUUUACAUUUAAGUAUUUACUUACUGGAGGGUUUUAUGUUUGUGAUGCAGAGCCACAGCUAACAGCUAGAAGGUACAGCUAGCAGCCACAGCUAACAGCUAGAAGGUACAGCUAGCAGCCACAGCUAACAGCUAGAAGGUACAGCUAGCAGCUAGAAGGUACAGCUAGCAGCUAGCUCCUCACUAGCAACUCUGACCAGCCUGCGUUGCUCCGCCUACCCUUUGGACUGAACCAUUGUUCUAAUAAUGGCUCUUAUUUUUUUCUGAGAUAAAUGGCAGAUUCAUUUUGUUUUUUUGUUUCUUUUGCCUUUUAAUAUUAUUUAAAUGCAAACGUGUCUUAAAUAAUUUUUUGGUGGGGGAGGGGUUGGGAGACAAUUCCAGACUUUUCUGUAUGAUUCUGCAUAACUAUAAUGUAAAUCAGUGCUCAUUAUGUGAAAUAAAGGAUUUUAAUAAAUCUGGA